GGGGGUUUAGCUCAGUGGCAUAAGCGCCUGCCUUGAAAGCAGGCCGUCGUAAGUUCGAUCCCCG
rnacentral:tRNA from 1 species